GACGAACGCUGGCGGCGUGCUUAACACAUGCAAGUCGAACGAAGUGGCGAACGGGUGAGUAACGCGUAAUCAACCUGCCCUUCAGAGGGGGACAACAGUUGGAAACGACUGCUAAUACAGCAUACUGAAGCAGGGGAGUGCGACGGAUUAGCUCGUUGGAGGGGUAACGGCCCACAAAGGCGAUGAACAGUAGGCGGUCUGAGAGGAGGAACGGCCACAUUGUGACUGAGACACGGCCAAGACUCCUACGGUAGGCAGCAGUGGGGAAUCUGCCGCAAUGGACGAAAGUCUGACGACGCAACGCCGCGUGAGUGAUGACGGCCUGCGGGUUGUAAAGCUCUGUUAAUCGGGACGCGGUACCGGAAUAGAAAGCCACGGCUAACUACGUGCCAGCAGCCGCGGUAAUUC
rnacentral:rRNA from 1 species